UGUGCCUUAUAGUAAGGACAGAAAAGAUAAUUUUUAUUUUUUUUCAAUGGUCUGGCAUGUGGCCACCUGAAAGAUAAAAGUAUUUAAACA
rnacentral:snoRNA from 1 species